GCGGCUAUAGUGUAAUGGUUCGCACUGGAAUCUGUGGCAUUCCCAGAACGGGUUCGAAUCCCGUUAGCCGCC
rfam:Candidatus Staskawiczbacteria bacterium RIFCSPHIGHO2_01_FTLL_34_27 rifcsphigho2_01_scaffold_1452, whole genome shotgun sequence.